rnacentral:miRNA from 1 species
AAUAUUCAAAUAUCCAUAACGUGUUUCGUCACAAAAGGACUUUUUCAAAUGAAAAAGUCCUUUUGUGACGAAACGCGUUAUGGAUAUUUGAAUAU